rnacentral:RNase_MRP_RNA from 1 species
AGCUUCGUAGCGCACGCACGGGGAGUCCGCCCCCAUAGAUGCUGCGAGGAAAGUCCCCGUGCCUCGGUGCAGAGAGUGCGAGUUGGAGACCGC